rnacentral:lncRNA from 1 species
UCCAAUGUAGAGCUUAGAACAAGUAACUUCACCGCAUGCUCAUUAAACCUCUUGUUUAACUCUUGUAACUGAGAGUCUAUUAUAGCUGCAAAUAUAUCAAUCCGAUAAUGCUCAAUCACUGUAAAUUUAUCUUGUUGAUGUCGAGCUCGACCUCUUCUCUCAACAUAUAAAGCAUCUAAAUCUGGGACAUAUAUUGUAUGUCGUUCACAGACCACUUGUGCCAGUGCUUAUGAGCUAUGACCACAGACCACUUACAAGUUACAAGAUGUCUAUUUAACUCUCAAAUUCUCAAUAGUCAAUAUUAAUAAGCAAUAGCACUGGAUGAAUAACAGAAUAAGCAAUUAGCAAUCUCACUUCAGAACUCAGAGGAACAACAAAUAGGGAAAGGGGUUAACCCAUAAUUGAUAUGAAUAUCUUACAUGAGAGCACGGAAGCACUGGAGAAGAAAGCAAUCUAUUUUUGAUGUACUGAAUUGCAGAAUUGCUGAAGUGCAGCAACGAAUUUGGAUCUAUGUUAGGGCUAGGGCAGAACCGCACUACCGCAGUGAGCCAGUGACGCAGUCGCCAGUCGCGAGAACUGAAAUGGCCAAAUGGGAAAAUGACGGAGAAAAUAAAGUAAUGAACUGAUAUAAAAUUAAAAGGGCCAGAAAUGAAAUGGUGUGGGC